AUUUGCAUGUCGUUUGCAUCUCAUUUGCAUGCGCCGCGCCCUCCCCCCGCCCCGUCGGGGAAGCCCCGCGGUGGGCGUGGCCGGCUCGCUCCCAGGCGGGCUGUGAUUGGUUGGUUGCGGGUGUGGGCGGGGCUUAGGAGCGCCGGUUGCACGCGGUGGGGCCCACCGGUGUGGCCGCUUUAAGGGUCGCUCCUCCCGCCCCCUCGGAGCGGGGAUUGGCUGGCUUUGCCGCCUUCCCUCAUGCUAUUGGGCAGCGCGGCCGUCAGGCAGCGGGGGCGGCUCCCGCUUCUUCCGGCUGGGGAAGCGGGCGUUGCCUAGCAACGCGGCAACCCAGGCCUGAGGCCUAGGCCCAGGCCCAGGUUGAUUGUUAUUGCUGGCGUUUUAAUUCGUAUUUUGUAGUGUUUUGUAUUGCCAGCAUCGCUACUGCUAUUAGCUUAUGUUAUUGUUAUUUAUAUUAUUUGUUAUAUUAUUUAUGUUAUAUAUAACAUUAUUAUUUUACAUCAUUAUUGCCAUUACCAUUAUAUUACCAUCAUCUUCCUCAUUAGUAUUGUUAUCGUUAUAUUACCAUCAUCAUCCUCAUUAUUGUUACCAUUACAUUACCAUCAUCCUCAUCCUCCUCAUUAUCGUUGCCAUUACAUUACCACCAUCCUCACCCUUAUCAUUCCCACUAUUAUAUUAUUAUCAUCUUCAUCACCCUCACCACCCCCUGUUGUUACCGUUCUAUUACGUUCACAAUAUUAUCGUUAUCGUCGCGUUAUUGCCAUCCUCACCCUCAUUCUCCUCAUCAUUCUCAGUACAUCCUUACCACCCUCCUCAUCCUCAUCAUUACCGUUACAUUACCACCACUCUCUCCCCCCACUGUUAUUAUCACUGCCGUUAUAUUAUUACCACCACCACCCUCCCCCUCCCCACCCUCACCGUUACUGUUCUAUCUCCCCUCUCCCCCUCCAUCUCCCUCCCCGCCAUCCUGCCCCCUAUGUCCCCGCUCCCCUUCCCACCCCAGUGCCCGCUCCCCCCCGGUGCAGCCCCGGAGGUGUCCAGGAAGCUCUGUGGGCUCGCCGCCCUCCUGGUGCCCACCACUUUCCCAUCCUCUCAAAUUUCGGGAGCGCCACGUUGAUUUAAUUUUAAUUUCCCCGGGCCUGAGCCACGUCCCGUGUCCCCGUCAGCCAUCUGGGCCCCGGCUCGUUACGGCGUGGCGCUGUAGCACGGGCAGUGAGGAGGGACACCCCAGAGCCACAAGAUGCAUGUUGGAGGGUGGUAGAGGCACGAGGAAGGCCGGCCGUGCCCCCUCGCAUCACUGCGUUUGCCCAGAUCCUGCCUAGGAGCGCUGCGCGCCCUUCUAACACCACUGCCGGGUGCAGGUCCCGUGGCCGUGUCCCCGUGGGGCACUCGGUGACAAGAGACGUGGCACUCUGCGUGCCACAUCGCGGCUCCUGCCGGCCUCCACACACCGACAGCCCGGCCAGGAGUCACCUCCACCGGGGGUGCCAAGGCGCAGAAAACGGGUGGGUGCAGCCCCCUGGGUGUCCCCGUCCCCGUGUGUGGGCGGCUGGGGGGCACCCCACAACGCACACAAGGGGAUCGGGGCCACGUCUCGGGGCUCUCCCCUCGCCCCCGUGGCGAUGAUGGGACGCGGGGGGUGGGCACGUGCCGGGCGCGCUCCCCCACCGCCAGGCGCUGCUGGCCCGCGCCGCCCCCGCGCCGAGCGCCCGUGGCUUUUUAUGGGCAGAGCGCGGUUGUUUGCAGCUUCCUGGCCUCUAAGAUCAUCCGCAGCACCCAGGCGGCCGCGCUGACGAGGGGCCGCGGAGCGAGGGGCCCGCCGGCACCGCUACCGGCGCGCUGCUGACCUCGGGGACGCUCCCGGGCCCCGUGAGGAGCAGCAGCAGCAGCAGCACGGCCAUGGGUAGAAGUGCCGGGGCCAGCGCCCGCAGCGGGCGAUUCCACAAGAAAACGCCGGAAUCGAGCAGAGUUGGAGUGCCGCUGAACUGGAAUUAAUUUCAGGCCCCCUGCUCGCUGACUGAGCUCGAGGUUCCUGGUUUAAGCAGCCUUAAUUAAAUCAAUCUGCUCCGGGAGCAGGAAUUCCCCCUGAUUUUUUCUCUCUGGGAGCGCCGGCAGGC
rnacentral:lncRNA from 1 species